CUGGCCCUGAAUCAAGGCUGGCAGCUUCGUGAUGCUGUUGGUUUCAAGCAGGAGCUUAAAGAGAUGUCUUUACCAUAAAAAGCCAUUUCAGAACUUGGGCAGUGAAAUGUUCAUUUCAUUAGAAAGAAACAGCU
ensembl:snoRNA small nucleolar RNA SNORA2/SNORA34 family